GCGCCAUUGGUUUAGUGGUAAAAUAUCCCGCUCCCAUCGGGAUGCCCCGGGUUCGAUUCCCGGAUGGCGCA
rnacentral:tRNA from 1 species